UAUUAUCAACCCCCGCCAGCUUUUGUAGUUGUGUGUGGCGGAUUGGAUAUGGAGGUUUGCAGGUACUUUUGAAGUAUCAGCUCCUCUGAAAUGCAUUAGCAGAACCGUUUGCAAUCUGUUAACUGGUGUGAUAAUUGUCUACGCUAGUGGAUUGCUCUCUGCAUGUUCUGCUUCUAAUAGUAUCUAUAUGAAC
rnacentral:misc_RNA from 1 species